UUACAAUGGACAGCACAUUGGAAUGAUUGGCUGCGCAUUCGGAUGGUUUAAAAAAGCAAAUAGUAUUGGCUGACCCAAAACACUCAGCAGAAUCCUCAGCACAUAUUUGACUAGGUUCCUCCCCAUAGCCCACAUACCAUGUUGUUUUCUCAUUACUGCUCCUCUUUUAGGCUAGCUGCUGAUUGGAAUUUUUGUGCAAGAUUCAUCCCUUCAUGGAGCUUUCAGACAAGGCCACUCAGAAGCCGCCUCAGAGUCGCCCCAAGGCUACAGCCUACCUGGAGAAAGCUAUGGUCCAUUCAGUCACAGAGCUGGACAGGAAUUAGGUGCCAUCAUCCUCGUUUUACAAGAAAGGAAACGGAUGCAGAGAGGUUGAGACAUUUGCUCAAGAUCAUAUAGCUGGAAGAUCACCACUAGGAUGCCUCUUUGGGGAGAAUCCUCAGAGCCAGUUUCUUUGCUACAUAAGGAUGUAGGACCUUUAAGGUGUCCCCCAAUUCCAUCAUCUCCUUAGUGACCAGACUGGGCUCAGAACAACUUUGGGUUAUUUCCAUAAAUAAAAUGUUCUUUCUGAGAAAGGAGACUCA
rnacentral:lncRNA from 1 species